UGGAGACACCAGGCACGUCAUCAAAGAAGCAGCCAAGAAGAGCUGCUUCAUUUGCUACAAGAUGGGGGCCAGCAUCACCUGCUGUGAGACGGGCUGCGACCGCACCUUCCACCUGCCCUGCGCCCCAGACGGCGAAUGUGUCACCCAGUACUUCGGGGCCUACAGGUCCUUCUGCUGGGAGCACCGCCCACAGCAGGCAGUGCACGCUCGUCCAAGCCAGGACAACACCUGCAGCAUCUGCCUGGACACC